UACAGAGGUCUCAAGCGUUGUUCGGAUUCAUUGGGCGUAAAGGGUGCGUAGGUGGCGGGGUAAGUCAGGUGUGAAAUCUCGAGGCUCAACCUCGAAACUGCACUUGAUACUGCCUUGCUCGAGUACUGGAGAGGAGAUUGGAAUUUACGGUGUAGCAGUGAAAUGCGUAGAUAUCGUAAGGAAGACCAGUGGCGAAGGCGAAUCUCUGGACAGUUACUGACACUGAGGCACGAAGGCCAGGGGGGCAAACGGG
rnacentral:rRNA from 1 species